rnacentral:rRNA from 1 species
GACGAACGCUGGCGGCGUGCUUAACACAUGCAAGUCGAACGGAAAGGCCCUGCUUUUGUGGGGUGCUCGAGUGGCGAACGGGUGUGUCACACGUGAGUAACCUGCCCUUGACUUUGGGAUCACUUCGGGAAACUGGGGCUAAUACCGGAUAGGAGCUCCUGCUGCAGGGUGGGGGUGGGAAAGUUUCGGCGGUUGGGGAUGGACUCGCGGCUUAUCAGCUUGUGGGUGGGGUUGUGGCUUACCAGGGCUUUGACGGAUAGCGGGCCUGGGAGGGGGACCGGCCACAUGGGGACGAGAAUACGCCCAGGCCUCCUACGGGAGGCAGCAGGGGGAAUAAUGGCACAAGGGUGGGAGGCCGGUGGAAGCAACGCCGCGGGCGGAAGAAGGGCCUUCGGGUGGAAAACCGUUUUCGCCAGGGACGAAGCGUGUGUGACGGUAAUGGGUAAAGAAGCACCGGCUAACUACGUG